UUACACUUUCAUUCUGAAUCUGAUCCCACUAAAAUCAUGCCAAGAAAUGAACUGAGAUCAAAUCAAAUCAAAUCAAAUGUGAAAUUCAUGGUCUCAGCAGUCAGUCUAAACCAAACCAAAUCAAAUGUGAAAUUCAUGGUCCCACCGGCCAGUCUAAAGGUAUGAGAGAACUUCAUGAGCGUGCAUGAGCAUGUGAGCGUGCGGCAGAGGGUUGGUUGUGUAAGUUAACUAUCAACAGAUGCUAACCUGUCACAUAUACUUGAUUUAAUAAUAAGUCUAUCACUUAGUCAUCAAUAUUCAAUUUGAUGUUUGCUUUUGACUUUUAUAUAAAAUAUAAUACUAGAUCUUCUGUAUAUUUAUUGAGGAUUGAAAGCUUCUCUCUCAGAGACUUCUUAUAAGAUAUGA
rnacentral:sRNA from 2 species